CCUACGGGCGGCAGCAGUGAGGAAUAUUGGUCAAUGGACGAGAGUCUGAACCAGCCAAGUAGCGUGAAGGAUGACUGCCCUAUGGGUUGUAAACUUCUUUUAUAUGGGAAUAAAAUGUUCCACGUGUGGGAUUUUGUAUGUACAAUAUGAAUAAGGAUCGGCUAACUCCGUGCCAGCAGCCGCGGUAAUACGGAGGAUCCGAGCGUUAUCCGGAUUUAUUGGGUUUAAAGGGAGCGUAGGUGGAUUGUUAAGUCAGUUGUGAAAGUUUGCGGCUCAACCGUAAAAUUGCAGUUGAAACUGGCAGUCUUGAGUACAGUAGAGGUGGGCGGAAUUCGUGGUGUAGCGGUGAAAUGCUUAGAUAUCACGAAGAACUCCGAUUGCGAAGGCAGUUCACUGGACUGCAACUGACACUGAGGCUCGAAAGUGUGGGUAUCAAACAGGAUUAGAUACCCGGGUAGUC
rnacentral:rRNA from 1 species